rnacentral:lncRNA from 1 species
UCACCCCCUUCUUUUGUUUUUUGAUUUCAAACUUUCCAACCCUAUCCUAUUGGGUUUUCCUCGAAAAUUCCAUUUGAAACAAAAAAAGGACUGAUUAUCGAGGAUGGACGGCGAGGAACGUCAGUGAACACUCGGAUCUGGUCAUAUCCCGUGAACAAAGGGGCAAGAGAAGGUAAGCCUCCAGCUUUUGAAUUGUUUGAUGAAAUGCUCAAAUGAAUGUUGGCUUGUUAACUUUUUUUUUUUUUUAAGGAUUGCACAUCACCUGCUUCGACUUGGGAGGGCCUCAAAAACAAUGAUCUUGUUUUCCAAUUUCCGAAAUAAAAGAUGACUUGUAAAGAUUUUAUGGAAUACUUUUGUUGUGAUCAGAUUUUUUUCGAAAAAGAUGCACAGACAUGCCCGAAAUCUUUAUUCGAAAUGCUUCUGACAUGCUCGUGAACUGUUCAGUAAUUUUGGAUGACUGUCUCUGCCCCCAUAGUCUAGGGAUGGUAGGACAACUAUAUUGCACCUUUGGGUGUAAAAUGAUCAAAAUACCCCCCCAGUGCAAAAUGACCAAAAUACCCUUGAGGAUAAACUCUACCUUUUGGGGUAAUUUUGAAUGAUUGUUUCUGCCCCCAUAAUAUCGGGAUAGUAGAAUAACCAUAUUUCCCCUCUCCGUGUAAAAUGACCAAAAUACCCUUGAGUGUGAACUCUACCUUUUGGGGGUAAUUUGGAAUGGUUGUUUCCUAAAAAAAUAGGAGAAAUUAAAGAAAUAAUUACCCUAUUAAGAAUUGUCGAAAUAAUAAACUUAAAAAAAUUUAAGGGUGUUGCUAUGGGGAAAAUUUAUUCAUUAAGAAUUAUAUAGGGAAAUUAUUGGUAGCAAGUAGAAGAAAAACAAAAAAUUAAGAAACUCACCUCUAACUGUCCACGUAACUUGAAGCAUUUUAUAAAUGACAACUCCACCUUUCCCCCCCAAAGAAGCCUUACGUAAUUUGCCUGUGUAGAAAAAAGCAUGAAAAGUAAGCCAUAUGAAAAAUAGUGUUAGAAAAUGAAUUAAUUGUAGCAAACAUGAAAUUUGUAGUCCAUUGUUGCAAUUAAAACUCAAACAGAAUUCAUUGGUACUUAAUUAACCAAAAUUUUAAAAUCAAAUCAUUACGAUUUAUGAUCAUCUUAUCACGAUCGUUGAUUUGUAUUAGCGCCAAGUUAGCAUUGUUAGAUUGUUAGGGCUGGACAUGAGAGGGAGAUAGAGAUAAAUGCCUACGUGUGAGACCACAUUGAGAGAGAAUUUUAAUUAUAAUAAAAUUAGGAAUCAAUAUAUAUUAAUAGCAUAUUUGUAUUGUCAAAAAGUCCCUCACAAAAACUUUAUGGGUUAGUAAUUAUAUUUAUUACAAAUAGCAUUACAUUACAAAAGGUGUAAUUAUAAGUUAUUUUUUAAUUAUUAUAUAUUCACGAAUAUAAUUAAUUUUAGGAAACUUUAUUUGUCUAAUUUUAUGCCGUUGUGCCUGGUCACAUGCAUUUUAUUUUGCUUCUUAGGCAAUAGUUUAAAAGUAUUGCAGGCUCAAUCUAAAUGGAAAUAAGACUUCAUGAACAUGUUACUCUAAUAUUUAGUUAUGGCAAAACCUUGAAGAGUGCAUUCUUGCAAUAUAUCAUUUGAUCUAUUACCAAUUAUAUAGUGCAAAUUAGAUUGUCUAGCUCUUGAUAUUGUUCUCAAAGAGAAAUAAACACUGAUUCAAAAUUGGAUGUUUCAUCAAGUUAAAUGUACAUUUUCUCGCUGGGUAAAACCAGAGGUAUCAUUAAGACUCUAGCUUUUGGAAUAUAGUCCUCCACUUAACCCAGCCAUCAAACUACGAAAAGAGAAAACAUGAAAGGAGCUUAAGAACAAACAUGGAAUUGUAUUAAAAAUCACGUCUUAGAAUUAUAGAUAAAGCGUAAUCUUUGUAGAUGCACAAGUCGGUGUUUAGAUGCUUACGAUCUUUCCUGCUCAUUUUCUUUUGAAUAUAUCACCUAGUGGCUCUAAAGUUGAUACUAAAGUUUCAGAAGAAAUAAAUCCUCCCAAAUAGCUUAUUUGCUUGAUGUAAUAAAUGUAAUUUUGCUCCUACAUAAGCAUGGUACACUGUAAUCAAUUUUAAGCUUGGAUAAACAUAGCAUAUAAGGAGCCUUUCUUCAUAGCAUUGCCAUGUGGUAAUCUUACCUACAUUGAAUAAGUAUUUUUGUAUUACUCAUGGAGUUUAUGAGUUUGAAAGCAUUCAACUAUGUAUAAAUUCAUUAUUGCUUCACUUCCAUGGUAUCGCAACUCCAUGGUUACAAACAUGGAAAAUUACAUGCAUACCAUAAAAGAUGUAGAAUUAUACAGAGGUCCAAUGUUUUCCUAAUUUUAUAUAGAGGUUCAUCUCCUAUAUAUGUUUUCAAAUUUUUCCCUCGAUUCGACGUUCCUAACAUCAAACUGGCUUUUAUUUUAUUUACUUUUUGAUUUUUCUAAAAUGUAGGGUUGUGACCUUUGUUUGGAGGCACUUCAGACAAGUUCAAUGUCUGAAAUAUCAAACUGCCCUAAAGCUGAGUAGUUCGAGGUUUGAAACUUUGAACUACCUCAAUGGGCCAGUCCAAUAUUUUAGACAUAGGGCUGUCAUUAGGUGUCUUCUUUUUUUUCCGACAAGUAGAAGGGGUGAAAACCCUAAUUUGAACCAUUCUUCACAUCCUCAGGAACCCAAACCGCCCCACACUCCCAACCCCACCCCCUAUUCCCUCAAAACCUCUCUCUAUCCCCAUACUCUUUGGGAUUUAGCACUCUAUUGUUCUACUCAAGUUGCAUCGGAAGUCUGAAUUAUGUACAUUUUUAUUUUUUUUUAUUUUCUUUUUUUAUAGUGGCACUCUAAGGUUCCAGUCAUCCAUGGAAUUGGAGCUCUAAGAUGGUUACAAUUCAAUCAUAUUCAUCAUCCUUCCAAGGAAGUUAUCGUUAUAUAUUAUUUGCCAAAAAGAUUAUUUUGUUCAAUGAUUAUGCCAUUGUAAAUAUGAGAAGAUUUUGGGAGGACAAUUCUUCAUAUUUCCAAUUAAAAUUUUUAUUUUUCAGUCUGUUUUUAAUGAACUUAUGCCAUUGUAAACAAUAGUAUUUUUAAUUUGUAAAAAAUACUGUUUGUGAAAACUAUUUAAUAAUAUUUUAAAGGUUUUAAAGUACGAAUAUUAGUUGUUCAAGAAAUAUUGAGAGAAAAGGCAUCCUUCCGCAUUGUUUUCUUUUACCACUACUCCCCCAAGUAAAAAUGAUAUAUAUAUAUAUAUAUAUAUAUUUUGAUCCAUGUUAUAUCACUAGCUUCUUUUUUUUUUGUGCCGGACCAAAAAAUUGAGUUUAGCCUGGUACAAAAAAUGUGCCACACCGGUCCGACACAUUAAUUUCAAAAGCAUGUUCAAAAUAUAAUCAAGGGGGGGGGGUGUCUAGAAAAUACAGUCAAGGGGUUUUCAAUAAUUUUCCCAAAUGUUAACUAUCAAUUUAUAAGAAAAAUUUGAUUUUUUUAAAAAUGGAUGAGAUAACAGUAAAUUAAACAAUUAGUUAUUACUACAGAUAGAGUGAUUUAUUAAAAAUGCUUUGUACAUGGAUUGAUAGUGGAAUAUAAGGAGAUUGAUGUUCUUAGGAAAUCUAAACUAACUCAUUCUCUUAGUAUGAGAAUUUACAAAAAUUAGAGUGAAAAACAACAGAGAAGAAAUCAAACUCCUAUAUAUUCUCUCCUAAUAAUAGAGAAUAGCCAUUGUGGUAUGUGUUUUGUACAUAACAUUAGUUUAAUAUAUUUUUUGUAUUUUCUCUUUUGUAUGAUUUUAUUUUAUUUUUAAUUAAUAUAUAUCAUGGUAAAAUGAUUGAAUUUUGGCUUGGGAUUUUCAACAUUUAAUAUAUGGAAAACUAAAAUUUUAAGUGCAAGUAUCCUUUAUUUUAUAUAUAAUUGUCUCAAACAGAAAAGACAUUUAAGAUUUAAGGAUAAACAACUUUCAUUUUCUGCUCAUUAUUUUUAAUUAUUUUUGAAGUUACCAUUAUAGAGUACUUUUACUUUUCAAUUAUUUAUAACAAAUACAUGAGCUAUUACAAUAAAUACUUAAAGUUUUAAAAUUAUGAAUGCUCUUUGUUCUGGAAAUAAAUAUUCACAAUUUAAAAUAAGAUGAUUAAAUUUUAGGAAAGAGACAUAAAAAGUCCCACUUACUCUAUACUUUUAAGAAAGAAUUUAUAAAUUGCUUGGAGUUAAAUAUAUAAAAUUAGAAUUACAGAUAAUCAUGUGUUCACUUAAAAAGCUUCGAAUAGAUAUGGAUCAAGUACUAAAAAAUAGAUGAUCUAGGGAUUCUAAGCUAAGUCAUUCUUUCAAUGAGAUUUAAGCAAAGAUUAUUUGUUUUUUAUCAUGGAAAAACUCUUAAAUCUAUGUUGAACUACUAAGCAAUUCAUUUUUGUUAGGUGUUUAUUAUUAUAACAAAGUUGGAUGUAUAAUCGUAGAAAAGUUCUUUAAUAUGCUAAACUACUUAGGUUGUAUAAGUUGAUUGGUAUAGCAAAGUUGGAUGUUUCGGUCAUAUCAAGAGCUUGGAAUAGAUAUGGAUCUAGUAUCGGGAAAGAGAUGAUCUAGGGAUUCUAAGCUAAGUCAUUCUUUCAAAGAAAGAUUUAAGCAUGAUUAUAAAGUUGUUUAUCAUGGAAAAGCUCUUAAAUCUAUGUUGAACCACUAAGCAAUUCAUUUUUGUAUAGGUGUUUAUUGUUAUAGCAAAGUUGAACGCAUGAUCGUAGAAACAUUCUUUACUACGCUUAACUACUUAGGUUCAUUUAUAUUGUAUGUGUUGAUUGGUAUAGCAGAGUUGGAUGUUUCGGUCAUAGAUAAGUUUUUAAACCAUGCUUUAACUUCUAAGCAAUUUAUUUGUAUUAUAUAUGUUGUUUGGUAUUGAGGAUUUAGAUGUUAUGAUUAGAGAAAUGUUCUUAAAACCAUGUUGAACUUCUAAGCAAAACAUAUAAUAUUAUGUUAUCUUUUCUAAUUAGAGACAAGCUAUUUAAAAAAAUGCAUCUAUAUAUCAAUGUUAGUACUCCAUCUAUAUCUUUGGUUAGAAUAUAGAAAUAUUUGUUUUGCUUAAAGUGUCAUUCUUUGAUGCAUUAAGUCAAUUUAAUUUUCAAUAAUGUUUGUUCUAGUUUAAGUAAAUAUUUUGUGUUUUAGAUAUUAUGGCACAUCAAGGUGAUCUUGAUGGAGGAGCAAAUGACAGGGUUCUAUUAUACUUGAAAGACAACUACAUCUGUCAUUCUCAAAAUCCUAUCCAGCAUGCAGAUUAACUUGCAAGCAAGUUGAUCUACAAGGUCUUUCUAAUGGAUUCAAGUCAUUGAAAUCACAUCGGGUCUUUAACUCAUACUUGAAGACUGCUUUUAUGCAUGUAAUUUGUUGUGGAGAUUGGAGACAUGGACUGCUUCAUUGGGUCGACUGGGAAGAGACAUCCAAAAAAUUCAAUAAGUACUAAAAUAUUAGGAUUUAAAUACCGGGAUAUGCAAGUCAAAAUUAUUACCUAAUCUUAGUUGAUGGACCACAAGAUGGAC